rnacentral:sRNA from 1 species
UGCUCUUAAUUUUGUCUCUU